UACGUAGGGACCAAGCGUUGUUCGGAUUUACUGGGCGUAAAGGGCGCGUAGGCGGCAAAUUAAGUCAGCUGUGAAAUCUCCGAGCUUAACUCGGAACUGUCAGCUGAUACUGAUGUGCUAGAGUGCGGAAGGGGCAAUCGGAAUUCUUGGUGUAGCGGUGAAAUGCGUAGAUAUCAAGAGGAACACCUGAGGUGAAGACGGGUUGCUGGGCCGACACUGACGCUGAUGCGCGAAAGCCAGGGGAGCGAACGGG
rnacentral:rRNA from 1 species